rnacentral:rRNA from 1 species
UGAGGAACUUGCCCAUGAGCGGGGGACAACAUUCGGAAACGGAUGCUAAUACCCCAUAGGUGGAUUGGUCGCAUGACGAAUUCAUUAAAGGUGGCUUUGCUACCACUCAUGGAUAGCCUCGCGGCGUAUUAGCUAGUUUGUAAGGUAAUGGCUUACCAAGGCAGUGAUACGUAGCCGACUUGAGAGGGUGAUCGGCCACACUGGGACUGAGACACGGCCCAG